rnacentral:rRNA from 2 species
CAAAGGUUUGGUCCUGGCCUUCCUAUUAGUUAUUAACAGAAUUACACAUGCAAGCCUCCUCAUCCCGGUGAAGAUGCCCUCUAAAUCCAUAAACGAUUAAAAGGAGCGGGCAUCAGGCACACUAAAUAAGUAGCCCAUAACGCCUUGCUCAACCACACCCCCACGGGAUACAGCAGUGAUAAAAAUUAAGCCAUGAACGAAAGUUUGACUAAGCCAUGUUAAUAUUAAGAGUUGGUAAAUUUCGUGCCAGCCGCCGCGGUCAUACGAUUAACCCAAAUUAAUAGGCUCACGGCGUAAAACGUGCUAAGGAUUACAAAACACUAAAGUUAAAAUUUAACCAGGCCGUAAAAAGCUACUGUUAAUAUAAAAUAUACCACGAAAGUGACUUUAUCAUCUCCAACAACACGAUAGCUGGGACCCAAACUGGGAUUAGAUACCCCACUAUGCCCAGCCCUAAACACAAACAAUUUACACAACAAAAU